GGAUGUGAGGCCAAUACAGCUGCAACAUCUGUCAUCCCAUUGAUCGCCAGGGUUGAUUUGGCUGCUCUGGCUCACUAGGCAGGUGUCCCCUUCCUCCCUCAGCACUCCAUGUGCGUCCCUCCCGAAGCUGCACGCUUGGUCAAAGAGGACAACCUUCACUGCUAAAGGGGGACUGGUCUUCAGUCAAGGGUACACGAGUAGCUGUGCUCCCCUGCUAGAACCUUCAAACAAGCUCUCAAGGUUCAAAUAGAGUAGUAUCAAAUAUUUCUAUUAUUAAGAACUCCUUUAUAUUCUUAUACAUAUUGGAGGUAUUGUUAGUAAUAU
rnacentral:snRNA from 1 species